GUAGAGAGUUGACAACCCUACAGCGGUGUUUGGUGUUGAGGGAACCCCACCGGUCAUUCUGUUUUGGGCAGGGAACCCCUUCGACUGUGAGCCAUCAGCGAUCAUCUUAGAUUUGGGACUGUGAUUUGAGACGGGCGUCUCGACAUCAGAUUGGUUCGAUUUGAUCUAUUGGAGGUACCAGGUUGGUUU